CUCUAAACACAUAAUUGCGACACAUGCGGUUUACAGCGCGCCAAAAUGUGAUCGGAGGUAAUCGUGCAGUUCACGUGACCACAAAGUCUCGCGAGACUCCAACUAUUUGACAGGGAGAGUUGUUUGCGCGCCUGUUUCGCCCAAACGACGGAGAACGACGACGACGACGAGGCGGAGACGCGACGCGCCACGAACUCGUGGGGCAGGAAAAUCCUUACGGAACAGAUUCAAAACACCAGAGCCACGUCCUCGUCCAUUAGCAGCGCUGCGUGAUCGUGACCGUUUGCCCUGUCCUCAAUGUCCAGGCUGGACGUCCCCACUCCCCAGUCACCAGCUCGAAAUGCAGAGAAACAAGAGCUCACCUUCACCGAGAGUGUAUGAAAAAACCCACAGGAAAGUGCACCGCCAGGUUUGAAUACCGCUCUUUGAAAAAUAUUUUUUUAAACUGUUCUGUCACCAAUAGUGCGAGAAUAUGUGGAUGUCAGGAAAAGAACUGGAGUGAGAGCUGAGGGAUGGAUUGACAAUAGUAUGUGUUAUCAGUACUUGAUUUUUCCUGAGGCAGCCUGAUUUAGAGCACCCCCUGCUGUAAAAGGUGAGGAACUACACCCCUUCACACUUUGAGUCAGAGGAAGGAAAUGACAGGGUGAAGUUCACAAAGGCUGUUUGGAAGUGUGUGGUGUGUGUCUGUACAUGCAUGAGUGUGUGUGUGUGUGUGUGUGUGUGUGUUUGUGUGUGUUUGCUGAUAAGGUGUACAGCCUUGUCUCGACUCGUACAGAUCUUCCUCCGGUGGAGUUACUGAGAAAGUGGUUUCGCUCUCUGUCGAUGGUAAGUAAUGUCUUCCUGCCCCCAAACUGUGAGAAAACGGCCUCUCACACAAACAAAUCCUCCAAGGACACUGACACACACACACCCCACAGUCCAUACACAUUAUAGACUGCGUGCGUGCAUGCGUGCGUGGGCGCGCGCUUGUGUGUGUGUGUGUGUGUGUGUGUGUCUGUGUGAGAGUGAGAGAGAGACCUGGGGGGACACAGCUGUUGGCCAGGCCAGACAGAGAAGUUGUUAUCAGGGCCUGACACACUCCAGUGCUGUUUCGGUCCUGGAGGAGGAGACUCCAACCCAAAUUAUUUGUGCAUUAAGAUGCACAAAGAGGGAGUUUAAUGUCUUUUUUGUGCAAAUGCAACACAAGGCCAGAUGCUGUACACGAGCACAAACCAAAAACAGGAGAAACCCAUUUCAUGUUAUCAAAUUAAUAUGACCAUCCCUGUGUUUUCUACGUCCUCUGUUGCUGAGGUCAGACACCUUUUGGAGUUCUGGACUCCACUAAAACAUCCCUCAUAGCCCAGAUCUGGCCCACGCUCAACACUCUCUUUUCGGCCCACAUACUGUGUGGACUGAUUGGCACUCGGCCGUCACGCUCUUGCCGCACGUCAGCCAGGGCGCACACCAAAUAAACCUGAACUGACCCAAAUCCUGCAGAUAGAAUCGCAUCUUGCCCCCAAAAAGGCCCACGUUGGAUUUGGCAUAUUUUGGCCUCAAUCGCUAUUUCACACGUGGGCCACUUUGGGCUCAUUCCUAUUGUGUCCGGGGCCAGAAGAGGGCCAGAAGUGCCUGAAGUGGCCCACAUCAGUAUGCUAUCUGGGAUCUUCCACCUGAAGAACCUUUGCCUCUUAUGCUCCUCUCUCUCUCUCUCUCUCUCUCUCUCUCUCUCUCUCUCUCUCUCUCUCUCUCUCUCUCUCUCUCUCUCUCUCUCUCUCUCUCUCUCUCUCUCUCUCUCUCUCUCAAUCUGCUGCACAGAUGCUCAUUUGGGCCUUUAUCACAUUUUAACUUGAUUGUUGUAAUGUCUUUCUCAGUGGAGCACCAUCUCAGUCCAGACUUCGGCUGAAAGAGUCUUGUGCCACACAGUCCUGGGAGCAUAUCAAACAUCACCACAUCCCUCUCUGUGUUCAUCUGAUGAUAUGUUUCAUCUUAGUUUAUAUGUACAAAUGUCUUAUUGGAUUGGUAAAGUAUUUUAUAAAUACAUUAUUUUUUAUUGAUAUGGAAAUCCAAAAACAGACUGAUGGCAGGCUGAACGCCACUCCCUCUUUUUGUUUUUCUGAGAUUUUUCAGAUCCCGUAAUCCGUCAUCUGACCUUGAGUCUCCAUCGGUCAGUUUUCUUCCUUUUGGACAUCAGCUGACCCGCUCACCUGUCUGCAUAGCUGCUCCGGAUUGCUCCGUCAGCCUCCCAGUCGGUCUUGUAUGUUGCGUGUGUGUCGGCAGCAGGCAGGGAAUCAUUGGAAGUCACGCUUCACCGGUGGGCUGCAUUCAUGAAGAGGAAGCAGUCGCCAUAGGCCAAUGAAAUUUAUCCUCUCACCAAAUGGAACCACAACCAGAGCUUGGCCCUCGUUGAUUCCUCCACCUUCCUCCACCUUGCCAGGAGUCAGAAGCAGACCUCCUCCUUGACGCCCACUUGCACUCCCUCCAGCUGACUGGCACCAUGGCAACCAAGAGAUCCAGCCAGGCGAGGCAGCAAUGGCCGUGUGUGUGUGUGUGUGUGUGUGUGUGUGUGUGUGUGUGUGUGUGUGUGUGUGUGUGUGUGUGUGUGUGUGUGUGUGUGUGUGUGUGUGUGUGUGUGUGUGUGUGUGUGUGUGUGUGUGUGUGUGUGUGUGUGUGUGUGUGUGGGGACUGAUUUGUACUUUUAGUCCUUUUUGUGUGUGUGUAUAUACCAGGAACAUUUACAUAUUUGUAUUAAAUUAUAUCUCAGCUAUGUUGUACAUGUUAGCUCAUGCAUACAAUCAUAUAUUUUUGCGCAUUAGAGUGAGCACAUAUGGGUUUGUGUGCAAGGUGAUUGUUCAUUUGGCCAUGCAGUCGUACUGUAAGGCUGCACUGCCCUCUGUGUGCGCGUGCGUGCGUUUACGUGUUUGCGUGCGUGCUGUCAUCUCUUCACGAGCAGACUGGCCACACAAAUAUUUCUGACUAUACCAUAGGUCAGAUACUUUACCCACUAGAAUGUCACUCAAUAGAGCUCAUCACUCAACAGACCCAUUCUUCCAGCUGUCCUGCAGCCAUCAUACAAACAAACAUGGGUGAAAACAUAACCUCCUUGGCGGAGGAACAGAACUGAUUUAAAUCCUCAUUUCAUAAAGGUGGCUGCUGUGGUUCUUCUGAAUCUUUAAAAGGCAUUUGACACAGUGAACCAUGGGAUUCUCACAUACAGUAUAAACUUUCCACAUUUGAUUUUUCUGAUGAAAUUUAGGAAUCCCUCAGGGUUCUGUUCUUGGCCCACUUCUUUGCAGUUCUCGAGUGGAGGACUUGCCAGAGUUUAGGUCGUAUUUCAUACGCAACAUUAAGAUAAUUGCCACCUGUUAUAUUCUAACCAAAAAUAUGGGUUAAAAUGGAGGGCGAGGUUGGAAUUAAGAAAUCUCUGGACAGAUAGACACAUUUUCUGGACAAAAAGACAAUAAAACCACACCACUUCGAAGUUUUAUGAAAUCCAUGAAUAAAUGCUCCGAGACCCGGUGGUUCCUCUCGGGGCUUCAGGUUCAGGAACACGUACGAGGAAAUUGUAAGGUCCCUUGGAGUUAAUCCUCAUUUGGACAGACGACUAAAACCUGCUGUGAAAUGGUAGAAUUUAGAAUUUAGUCAGAAUUAAUCAGUGAACAGGCAACAAGUCCUAAAUCUUCUUGAAAACGCUCCAUGACUCUUGAUUUUUGAAAAAUUGUUAAUGUACUGAGUCGACGACCUGAGUGAAACUCCCCUAAAACGACAGUUGGUUUCCCACCAGCUGCCCUCGACGGGCAAACGCUGGCCUCCUGGACAACGGCAGAGACAGAAAAAAAAGGGGGGUGGGGGAGACCAGAGUGUUUUGAAACACACUUUCACUUCCCAUGGAGGAAGGUUAUUUGCAUCCUCUCCGUUGACUUUCUCUUCCCCCCGCCCCCCCCCCUCUCCCUCCAACGCCUAAUUCCUAUGGGGAAAGUCAGGGGCCUUCAGAUAAGACACACAGACACAAACAUAACGGCCCAGUUUCAGCUCCAGUUGUCUUGAGACACACAUACACACACUUGUGAUGAACAAAUGCCAAAUAAAAACAACAUUUAUUGUUCCAUAUUCAAACCCCCAAAUCUCGAAUAUCAAAGACCAGAAAAUGUCGCGAUUAAAUAUUUCCAAAUUUCUCUUUUGGGUUGAAGUAAAACACUUUGCCCAGCUUUUCAUUGUCGAAAAGUGACAGACAAAUACAACGAUACAAAAAAGAUGUUCUCCUGAGACCCUCAAGUUGAUAAAAAAAAAAAAAAAAUCUAACUCAUUUGUUUAUUUAGCUAUAUGCCACUUUGCUUCUCUGACAAGACCUCAGGCCACCUGGCGAAGGACAGUGAUGGCUGAGGUGUGGGAGGCGCGACCCCUCAUGGGGGAAAGGUGCAACUAGCUGCUAAAGACUGCGACAGGUGGUGAUGACGCCCCCAAAAGAGGCCACUCGUCAAUCAAACAGAAUGUGAUGUGACUGUGAUGUCGGAUCUUGAGUCUUUGUUGAAACUGUCACCGCGGUGGAUUCAGUCACUUCUGAGGCGGCGUGUGUUUGUUCCACUCGAUGCAUUGAACUAUGGCGACGUUCGUGUUUUUGUGCCCCAGCCCCUGUGUGUGAUUGAACGGUUGUUCUCCGUUCUCUUUGUCUCUCUAUGGCACUUCUCUGGAGACCGACAGGGGCUGUUGUGUUUUAGCUGCUGUGUGUGUGUGUGUGUGUGUGUGUGUGUGUGUGUGUGUGUGUGUGUGUGUGUGUGUGUGUGUGUGUGUGUGUGUGUGUGUGUGUGUGUGUGUGUGUGUGUGUGUGUGUGUGUGUGUGUGUGUGUGUGUGUGUGUGUGUGUGUGUGUGUGUGUGUGUGUGUGGACACCACAGGUCCUCCAAGGAUUCACUAUAGCAGCCCUGAUCAACCCACCUUUAUAAAUUUGAACACAAACACACCUGAGAGUCCCAAACCACCUUCAACACACACACACACACACACUGACAGAACGGAGGAUAGUCUGUGCACAAAGGACACUUCUUUUCACUCCGAUUCAUUUAAAGUAACACAAACAUUUGAAAUCAAGUCAGUAAAGCAGCUUUGUGUUGGACAUCGAGACACUUUAGAGUCUGGAUAGCUCUUGUGUUUCUGCCCGGCAGCAUUCGUGUUCAUCUCACAUCCACCUGCACAGCUUAUUCAAGAGGAAUAUGAUUGACAGUUACUGAGGACACAUGAACACUGACAAAUCCUGUUGAAUCCAUGACUAAAAUGUGCUGUAAACAUUAACACGUGCAUGCGUGGUCAGAUUUGUCAAAUAUAAAGUGUGUACUUGCAAUAACGCAGGUGUGUGAUUUCAAAGAAUAUAUUUCAAGCAUAUCUCAGAGAGAGAACAAACUGUAAAUACCAUUGUUCUUUCUAAUGCUUUCUAACUGUUUACUUAUUUACACCAUCGUGGCUGAAAUAAUGUGGGGAGUGAACUUCUUUCCAUAAGUUAGUAUCAGUGUGAACAAAGUGGAGGAACACGGUGUGAACUGUCAGGCUGUGGUGCUUCUCUUUACGGCUGCCGGAGGAUUCUGUGUUGGGGGAGAGUUUUCUACAGACUGUUUUGGUGCCAGCUUCCUUAUUUUCACUAUACUGUAGCUGUUUCUGCAGCGGGUUGCUGGCCUCUUUUGUGCGUCUGCUCGCUCCACUGAUUCCGCGGUUACAUCUGUGUCGGAUGGAGGCUCGAUGACUGUUAGACACCAUCAUUGUUUUUAAUUUGAUCUAUUCUAGUCUAUUUUUUGGGUAGAAAACACAGACACAAAGUGAUGAAAACCAAAAGAGGACAGGGCAAGGUCAAAUUUAAAGCUGUAAAUGAAGCCAAAACAAGUAACGUACUUGUGUAUACAAGCCUCAACGUCGUUUUCCUGAGUUUGGAUCCCAAAAUCGGAAGAUCCACUUCUUGUUUAGGCUUGAAGUUUUUUCAUUUGACCUGGUGUAACUUUACAAAAGAGGACCUCAUAAUAAAAGUCUCCCAUGUACAGACUUUAAACUUGAUUUGUUGAACCAUAGACUGUAAAUUAAGUAUGAAUGAAAUGACAGCUCCCAAAAGUGGAGCCAAAAAACCUGGAUCGCCCCCUGGUGGCUGGCUGUAGUACAGGCCAUGAACCCCGCCUCCUCCAUGUUGGCAGAUGGGACAUGGACUAAACUAAAACAAAAAAAAUCAAAGAUGGUUUCUUUCAUUUUAGGUAGUUCUUAUCACACUGACGUAAGUUAAAGUAUUCAUAUUUCUGAUAUGCUUGAUUUUAAUUAGUUAUUUAAUGGUAUAAAAAUGGGUUGACACAUUAUACAGUAAUUGACAGCAGAGAACAAUUUGCGAUUGGUGGGUAGAACAUAACACAUCAUGGCUGCGUUAUCCAAACUGCACAGCAAUUAAAAAGCACAUCGGGAUAAAACCUCCCAAUUAAAUGUCUCCAUAGUGAAAUGUCUAAAGUGUUAAUCGAUAAGAGAAAAUGUGAUAUCAUGGGAGGCAAAGAGCCGACAAAGUGACAGACAUGGCAGGUUUAUUUUUAAAUAACGAGGCCAUUUAGUUAUUAAGUGCAAUUAAGACAAAAUAAAAACAUGAGGAAAUGUAUAAAAACAGGCAUAUGACAAAACAAUAAGAUUUUAAAAUGUAAAAACAGGCACAUGACAGUACAAUAUGAUUUUAAAAGAAUACAAUUAGAUAAAAAGCUGCAGAUGUCUCAUCAGCUUCUUACGGAAACAUGCAAAGACACCAGUGCAGAAGUUGAACCUAUAAAGAUAAAAGCUUGGACAUGUAAUAUUUUGUUCCCCCCCCCCCCCAGGUCUUACUCA